rnacentral:rRNA from 1 species
AUUGAACGCUGGCGGCAGGCUUAACACAUGCAAGUCGAGCGGAGAUGAGGUGCUUGCACCUUAUCUUAGCGGCGGACGGGUGAGUAAUGCUUAGGAAUCUGCCUAUUAGUGGGGGACAACAUUCCGAAAGGAAUGCUAAUACCGCAUACGCCCUACGGGGGAAAGCAGGGGAUCUUCGGACCUUGCGCUAAUAGAUGAGCCUAAGUCGGAUUAGCUAGUUGGUGGGGUAAAGGCCUACCAAGGCGACGAUCUGUAGCGGGUCUGAGAGGAUGGUCCGCCACACUGGGCCUGAGCCACGGCCCAGACUCCUACGGGAGGCAGCAGUGGGGAAUAUUGGACAAUGGGCGGAAGCCUGAUCCAGCCAUGCCGCGUGUGUGAAGAAGGCCUUUUGGUUGUAAAGCACUUUAAGCGAGGAGGAGGCUACCUGGAUUAAUACUCUAGGAUAGUGGACGUUACUCGCAGAAUAAGCACCGGCUAACUCUGUGCCAGCCGCCGCCGUAAGAC